rnacentral:lncRNA from 1 species
UUUUACCACGUAUGACAACAAUGUAAUUUGUUUUCACAUUUUUUUUACUACGAUUUUCGUGUUAUAUUUUACUCGGUAUAACAAAAUUCGUUUAAAAAAAAAUAUUUCGUGUUUAGAUUCGAAAGGAUCGUACUCUAACUUACUGGGUUUCGAUUUUCAUAAUAAAUCUAAAUACACGAAUCUUUUCAAACUCAAGUUUUUAAACGAUCUCGGGAAUUAAGAAAAGAUCGUGCCCUAACUUACUGGGCCUGAUUUAUUUC